AUGAAUUUUGGUUCCAUGAGCAGGCAGCAGUGUACAUUGAAAGAGGUUAGAAUCAGAAAAGGCCCAGGGUUUGACUCUACACUUCAUCACUGAGACUGGGUCUUCCUAGUUGACUUCCUCAUUGCCAUCUCCGUUUGUUGAGCAAGGACCAGAGCAAAGGUUUUGCAGUACUGUGAUGAAGGAAGCAUGAGAUCAUGCUUGCAAAGCACCUAGCUGAGAGGCAUUGAAGGCAGUGCCUGUAAUUGAUUUUGUAUUCAGCACUCUGCACCUCUGAAUUAGCACCAGAAUGGGUUUCCAUUAUUGUGAACAUCAAAAGCCCUGUUUUACUCCAUCCUCCAUGCAUCUUUUCUUUCUGCUUCCUGUCUCUAUGGACAGCAAUAAACCAUAUUUGGAAGUCCAAUUAGGCAUGCAUAACUCCUGUCUGUCUUAUCUUAAUCCUGCCAGUAAUAGAACAGUAAUUGUUCAGAGAAACUACAGGGGAAAUUGUGAGUAAGGAGCACACACAGUGCUCCAAUUGAUCUCAAUUACUGUCAUGAAAUUGAGUCUUCUGUCCGACAUCUAAAUUUAAUGCUUCUUUUUCCCUGAGGAUCUGUCCCUGGUUGUUGCCUUCUAUCGUAUCUGUGGUUGGGCUGUCACCAUUUGCACUGCCCUCUCCAUCAGAAUGAUGGAAUUGUUUUCAUUCAUGCAAUAUUUUCCCUCUAUAUUGUUUGCCUCCUAAAUCCCAGCUUUAGUCUUCUGACAUUCAUAUCUGAAUCUUUUCAUUUUCUCUGGCUCAACACCCAGGGAAGAACUAUGUUGUGUUUUGGCACCCGAAUAAUUGAUUUCUAUUUAUGAGCAAAAAGACAAUUUUUCAAAACCUAAACAAGAUGAGACUAGGCUUUGCCCAAAGGAUGAAAACAUAUUCAGAAGUGAAUUAUUUCCCUCUUUAUUUGGGUGCAAUUAGGAAAGUUAAUGAUGGGUAAUUUCCAGCAUGCAUAUGCUUUCACUUUGCUGAUUUAUAAGUAGGCAUAAACAUAAUUAGGUGUGCAUAUGCAUCCUCACAGUUUAAUGGGCCCUGUAUUCCUGGUAAUUAGGAGACUCAGCGUGCUGUUGAUGUGUCAUUUUUCAGGCUAAGGUAUGGGAAGCUUUAAGGACUGACUAGCCCCGGGAAGUUGUAUGAAAAUGCAAGGUAUAGAGUUCUAUAAAUUCAUAGAUAAUAGCAUCUUAGAAGACAUUCACCAUAUGUUUUUCUUCUUAAAUAGAUUCAAUAGAUUCAGUUUUAGAAAAUACAUCUGCCUAAAAUAGAUAAUCUUUAAGUUGUAAAGAUUUUGGAAAUUAGCAGAUUUAUAGUAUUUUAGAACUAGAAGUAUGUAAGAGAACAUCUAGUAAAAUUAAGAAUUCACUGAUAAAGCUAUAUAGGCUCUUAGAAACCUACAAGUGGACUGAAAAAGGAUGGAAGAAAUAGAAUAUUUUGAUGUAGAACCUGCAUCUCCUUGGAAUUCUAGCUUUACUUCCAGAAAGAGCAGCUGAGCAUAUUAUAGGAACCCCUGCAACAUAAAAAUUCAGGGUUGCUUGCCUAAACAUUAAGAAAUUAAAGAUAUUGAUUACAGAGCAUUGAAACAAGCACCAGGCCUCUCUAAACAUGUUUCCCUGUUUGAUUGAACAGGUGACAUGUCUACAAAAGUGGCACUUAGUAUUGGAAGGCACCAAGUGACCUAUAAAGUAGGGACAUGAUCACAAUUCCUCCAAGGCUCCUGGGUCCUCCUCAUUCUGGUAUUAGAUCAAGACGACAUGUGGGAGGAUGUUCUGUGAUGCCAAUGAUGGAUCUUCAUCCUCCUGAUGGCUCAACUGGUAACUUGUGACCAGGCCUGAAGACCCGAGUUUGAUCCUCAAUGCUCACAUGGUGGAAGAAGAGAACUGACUUCU